CUGGAGGUAUCAGAAGUGCGAAUGCUGACAUAAGUAACGAUAAAGCGGGUGAAAAGCCCGCUCGCCGGAAGACCAAGGGUUCCUGUCCAACGUUAAUCGGGGCAGGGUGAGUCGACCCCUAAGGCGAGGCCGAAAGGCGUAGUCGAUGGGAAACGGGUUAAUAUUCCCGUACUUGGUGUUACUGCGAAGGGGGGACGGAGAAGGCUAUGUUGGCCGGGCGACGGUUGUCCCGGUUUAAGCGUGUAGGUGUGUGUUCCAGGUAAAUCCGGUUCACUUUAACACUGAGGCGUGAUGACGAGGCACUACGGUGCUGAAGCAACAAAUGCCCUGCUUCCAGGAAAAGCCUCUAAGCAUCAGGUAACAUCAAAUCGUACCCCAAACCGACACAGGUGGUCAGGUAGAGAAUACCAAGGCGCUUGAGAGAACUCGGGUGAAGGAACUAGGCAAAAUGGUGCCGUAACUUCGGGAGAAGGCACGCUGACACGUAGGUGAAGUGAUUUACUCAUGGAGCUGAAGUCAGUCGAAGAUACCAGCUGGCUGCAACUGUUUAUUAAAAACACAGCACUGUGCAAACACGAAAGUGGACGUAUACGGUGUGACGCCUGCCCGGUGCCGGAAGGUUAAUUGAUGGGGUCAGCGCAAGCGAAGCUCCUGAUCGAAGCCCCGGUAAACGGCGGCCGUAACUAUAACGGUCCUAAGGUAGCGAAAUUCCUUGUCGGGUAAGUUCCGACCUGCACGAAUGGCGUAAUGAUGGCCAGGCUGUCUCCACCCGAGACUCAGUGAAAUUGAACUCGCUGUGAAGAUGCAGUGUACCCGCGGCAAGACGGAAAGACCCCGUGAACCUUUACUAUAGCUUGACACUGAACAUUGAGCCUUGAUGUGUAGGAUAGGUGGGAGGCUUUGAAGCGUGGACGCCAGUCUGCGUGGAGCCGACCUUGAAAUACCACCCUUUAAUGUUUGAUGUUCUAACGUGGACCCGUGAUCCGGGUUGCGGACAGUGUCUGGUGGGUAGUUUGAC
rnacentral:rRNA from 1 species